rnacentral:lncRNA from 1 species
AAAAUGGGAUUAUUUUGAGACGAGAAACUGUUUUUAAGUUUACUUACUCGUAUUUAAUGAUAUAAUACGAUGAUCUCUGUUAUAAAUUUGGAUAAGAUAAUUAUCGAAUUGAAGAUAACAUCCUUUUAUAAUUAAAAUUUUAUAUAUUUUUUAACGUGCAGAUACAAUAAAUGUAUGAUUUUUAUGUUUUUAUGACACAGAUAACGAAACUAAACAAUUUUCAUAGUUUAGUCCAAAGUCUGGGUUGUGUUACUUCAAAAAGAAAGUGUUAAUCAAGACAAAUAAGGAACAUUUUUAUUAAUAUAACUUUCAUUUGAUCUAUUUACAUUUUUAUAAAGUUAUUAUUGUUAUUAAAAGAAAAUUGAAUACAUCUAUAGUCAAUUCUCCAGAUGUGAAAUGUUUUUAUCAUCACGUAACUUUAUCAUUACAUUUUUCACAAGGUAAUCUUCAUGUAAUUUAGAAAGAAUAAGAAUAAUUGAUAAAGAAGAUAUGAAGUGAAAAAUAGAUUUGAUCUUAAUAUGUUUUGACCUACAAUAAAGAGAAGAAAAUCAAUUUUUAGAGACAUGAAGACAAAUGCUGUUCUGAAGCUGUACCGAUGAUCAUUAUUACUGAACAGAUAUUUAAAAUUUUUAAAAAUUGUGUAAUAAAAAUUCUUUAAUGAAGAAAAAAUUGAGGAAACAGAAUAUAUAUAUAUUUAUAUAAGAUAAAACUUCUAUAAAUGAUUGUACUUGCAUUAAGUUAUUGUAUAUACAGUUGAGCCUGCAUAAGUUGUCAUAGGUAUAACUAGAUACCGUUGGUUAAGUAGUCAGUUUUCUGUGGUCCUAGCUGACUUACAUAGGCAUUAACAUUAAAAAACUCUGGUUUACUCAACACUGUUUAACUCGUCACCACUGGAUAAAUCAACAUACUUUUUCUGUCCCAUACUCGUCUAGAUGUCUGAUGCUGUAUGUCAACUCCCUUCCUGAAAAAAAAUGAGUUCACACCAUAGAGCUUAAUGUCACAGCAGAAUCUGAUUUUGCAUUUUUUCACCUUUCAUUCAUUCAUGCAUUAUUUGCAACAAGUGUUUCACAUUUCUAAUAGAAAUGAAUAUCCAAAAACUAACAACACUUACACUGAGGAAAAAUACAAACGAGUAUCUGAAGUUGAAUGUAAUAAAACUUCACAAGAUGAAUUUGCAAAACAAAAAAACCUUCCAAGAACAACAUUGGUGGGAAUCCUGAAGAUAAAAGAGGAAAUUAAGAAACUUUUUCUUGGGUCUUCAUUGUGGCUGUCUUGAAUGCCAGAGAAAGUCUCUGUAAAAAGAUGCUCUGUUAUGUUGGCUAAAGCAAACUUGUUCAUUGAAUCUUCCUGUUUCAGGGCUGAUACUGAAACAAAAAGCAAUGGAAAUCACUGGAGUACUUGGAGUAGAAACCAACUUUAGUGCUGUGAUGGAUGGUUAGAGGGAUUUAAAGGUUUCCACACAAGCUGUGUGGAGAAAAAGAAUCUGUUGAUAUGACUCUGUUGGAACUUGGAAAGAGACAGUUUUACAAGUGAUCGAGAAAUCGUAUAAACCAGAAAACAUUUUCAAUCUUGAUGAAAUGGGACUUUUCUACAAAUUUCUUCUGGAGAAAACCACUAUGUUUAAAAAUGAGUUGCCAUGGCAGAGCAAAUCAAAGCUGCGAGUUACAAUCCUUCUUGGUGCAAACUCUGAUGGCUCUGAAAAGCUGAAGUCCUUGUUAUAGGAAAAUCUUGACUGCCCUGAUGUUUCAACAGAGUGAACCUGUCAUAUACAAGGCAAAUUCGAAAAGUUGGAUGACUUCCAAAAUUUGGGAGAAUUCUUCACAAAUAUGAUUCCCAAUUUGUUAAGCAAACAAGGAACGUAGCAUUCGUUGUUGACAACUGUCCUGCUCAUGGAAAAGUUGAAGGACUAUAAGUGAUUAAUGUAUUUACUCUACUGUCGAAUACCACUUCUGUAGUGCAACUGCUGAAUUAGGGUAUUAUUCAAAUGUCAUUAUUGGAAGAAGCUUAUUUUGGAUUUGAUUCAUGUGUAGAAAGUGGAAAAUUGACUGACAUUUCCCUAUUAGAUGUGAUUCAUUACAUGAAGGUUGCUUGGGAAAAUGUAACAUGCUUAACCAUUGCAAACUGCUUUAAACAUGCAGGAUAUUGUUAUACAGUGGCAGUUCAAGAUGAAGAUAAGGGUGAAGAACAGAACGUUCAAUUGGAUGAAUUGCUGUGACAUUGCUAUGAUCUAUGAGAAACUGCCUCUGUUGAUGAAACCGACUACAGCACAGUGGAUGAUUGCGUGGAGGUGUGUUACUCAGUGAGUGUUGUCGAUAUUGUCACAGAAAUUCAGGAUGAGAAUAAUGAGUCUGGAGGUGAAGAGAAGAGAAUGGAACACUAGAAGAGCUAAACCCCAACUAAGAUUGUGUUCUGAUUUCAAACUAACUAAAACUGAUGCACUAGAGGCAUUAAGAAUCAUUAGAUGUUACUUGCCAACAAUUGCAAAGAUGAAGUUUUCAAGGUGUUCAUGAUUGUUGAAAAGAAAGUCAAGACAGUUAAGUGCUCAAAACAAACAACACUAAACGAAUUUUUCACUUUAUCAUCUAUAACAUUAUUGUAAAUGGAGUACACAAUGUAUUGUAAGCUAUAGUUUACUGUAUAAAGCACUACUGUUUUCCUAAUUGUAGUUUUAUGUUUUUGUUUUUUUUCAGUCAUGUCAGAUAACUUGACACAUCCACUUUCCCUUGAGGUGUCGACUUAUGCAGACGCGACUAUAUUUAGAAGUCAGAUGCUUA